CCUACGGGAGGCAGCAGUGGGGAAUUUUGGACAAUGGGGGAAACCCUGAUCCAGCCAUGCCGCGUGCAGGAUGAAGGCCUUCGGGUUGUAAACUGCUUUUGUACGGAACGAAAAGUCUCUUCCUAAUACGAAGGGGUGAUGACGGUACCGUAAGAAUAAGCACCGGCUAACUACGUGCCAGCAGCCGCGGUAAU
rnacentral:rRNA from 1 species